rnacentral:rRNA from 1 species
AUGCGCUGGACCUCCUUGCGGCCUACACUCUCGUUCCUCUUCGGCAACUUGUCCAAGUCCGAGCUCGCGGGCAUCACCGAGAAUACCAAGUUCGGCUAUGGCGUCGUCGUCAUCUCCAUAGUCGACGCACCCCUCAGGUUUGGGGUCUCCGCCAGGGGCACGCAGGACUAUAGGAAGGCCGACACCAAUGCUCUGGUGGUGCUCCACCAGUCUAACACUGGUGAGUACCUUUGCAAGGAGGAGGAGCUCAUCGAACCUGGAGUGCGGCUUGAUCCAAUGGCUCGAUUGGAGCACUCAAUUGUGAUGAAGCUGUAA